ACCACCGAGUCACUGGAAUAAUGAACAGGGACCUGAGUACAAGGGAUAAGGCCUCAGCGAUAACAGAAUAAUGAAAGGAAGAUGGUUUCUAGGCAUUGAAGAAAUUUUUGGAAAAAUUAUUCAAGAUAUGAACCACUUCUCUCUGGAAUAUCUCAGAAUGCCUUCACAAACUUACUCAUCCAAUGGAGUUCCGUAAUUUUCUACCUAAAUGCUCACUGAAACUCCAGGCCAGGAAAAUAAAGUAACUACCAUUUGAAUAUAGCCCCAAGACUGACUGAAGACCACUUUGCCCUGCUGAGUCCUCUUAUUAAGAAAAACAGUUCAAGCCGGCGCCGUGGCUCAAUAGGCUAAUCCUCCACCUUGCGGCGCCGGCACACCGGGUUCUAGUCCCGGUGGGGGCGCCGGAUUCUGUCCCGGUUGCCCCUCUUCCAGGCCAGCUCUCUGCUAUGGCCAGGGAGUGCAGUGGAGGAUGGCCCAGGUGCUUGGGCCCUGCACCCCAUGGGAGACCAGGAAAAGCACCUGGAUCCUGGCUCCUGCCAGGAUCAGCGCGGUGAGCCGGCUGCAGCGGCGGCCAUUGGAGGGUGAACCAACGGCAAAGGAAGACCUUUCUCUCUCUGUCUCUCUCUCUCACUGUCCACUCUGCCUGUCAA